rnacentral:lncRNA from 1 species
UUUUCUCUCUCUCUCACAUACAUUAGGAAUAAGGUCUCACACUGUUUAAACUUCCUUUCAUGAAUGUAGUCUGGAGUAGCCUUUAGAUAUAAAGAAGAGAUAUCACUUUGAAAAGGAAAAUAAGAGAAUGAAUUAACAUUCAAUUCAGUAAACUAGUCAGUGAACUAACACUGAAUGCUUAAUGAAUUAACAUUCAAUUCAGUAAACUAGUCAGUGAACUAACACUGAAUGCUUGACCUAUGCAAACUUGCUGCACUGUCUGUACAGUAUCAGACAUUAGUGCUCUGAAACUAGACUCAAUUGGUUAAUCUGUUAAUUGAAU